CUCGUAGUUGAACCGAGGGGGCGGAGCGCGGUUAAAAAGCUUUCGGGUCUUCGCUUCUCGCGGGGGCUCGGAGGUCGCGGAUCCGUCUUCGAAUUUGCGGUGAAUUUACCAGCUCGGGGGGGAUUCCUUUCGCUCUAAAAAGGCGGGGGGAGUCUUCUUCUUGUUGGAUCGCAAAGUUUUACUUUGAAUAAAUUAGGGUGUUCAAAGCAGACGAAUACGUCUUGAAUAGAUUAGCAUGGGAUAAUAGAAUAAGACCUUCCUCCGCGAUCCGUCGCGGUUGGCUUAUAUUUGCUGGUUUCUUAGGCCAGGGUAAUGAUUAACAGGGACGGUUGGGGUCGCUCGUACUCGGUGGUGAGAGGUGAAAUUCUAAGACCCAUCGAAGACGAACAAGUGCGAAGGCAUUCGACAAGGAUGUUUUCUUUAAUCAAGAACGAAAGUUAUGGGAUCGAAGAUGAUCAGAUACCGUCGUAGUCAUAACCGUAAACUAUGUUGACUCGGGAUCUGGGGAUGUUACAUGGAUGACUCUCCAGGCACCGUGUGCGAAAGCACAAGUAUUCGAACUCCGGGGGGAGUAUGGUCGCAAGGCUGAAACUUAAAGGAAUUGACGGAAGGGCACCACCAGGUGUGGAAUCUGCGGCUUAAUUUGACCCAACACGGGGAAACUUACCCGGUCAGGACGCGAUGAGGAUUGACAGAUUGAUAGUUCUUUCUUGAUUUUGUGGAAGCCGGUGCAUGGCCGUUUUUAGUUGGUGGAGUGAUUUGUCUGGUUAAGUCCGAUAACGAACGAGACCUAACUCUAUUAAAUAGUGGUGCGAACAAGGGAGCUCUCGCGGCAGGCUCGGGUUCUCCCGGGUUUGUCGAGGUGGGGCUUCCGUUCAUUUGUUCGUAGCGAACGAUACUUCUUAGAGAGACACUUGGUCGAUAACAGCAGCCAAUGGAAGUUUUAGGCAAAAACAGGUCUGUGAUGCCCUAGAUGUCCGGGGCUGCACGCGCGUUACACUGAUGUGUUCAACAAGUAUUACAAAAUGACCUGGCCCGAAGGGGCUUGGGCAAUCUCGUAAUGCACAUCGUGAUGGGGAUCGUGCUUUGUAACUAUCGCACGUGAACGAGGAAUACCUAGUAAGGACAGGUCAUCAACCUGCCCUGAUUACGUCCCUGCCCUUUGUACACACCGCCCGUCGCUUCUGCCGAUUGAAUUACUCGAUGAGGACUCGGGAGGCGGGGCACGAUCCGGUUUUACCGCCGGUGACGUUUUGCCGAACCUGUUCGAAUCUCGUAGUUUAGAGGAAGAAGAAGUCGU
rnacentral:rRNA from 1 species